rnacentral:rRNA from 1 species
UACGAAGGGUGCUAGCGUUGCUCGGAAUUACUGGGCGUAAAGGGCGCGUAGGCGGAUAGUUUAGUCAGAGGUGAAAGCCCUGGGCUCAACCCAGGAAGUGCACUCGAAACUGCGAGGCUAGAGUACUGGAGAGGUUGGUGGAAUUCUCGGUGUAGAGGUGAAAUUCGUAGAUAUCGAGAGGAACACCGGUGGCGAAGGCGGCCAACUGGACAGAUACUGACGCUGAGACACGAAAGCGUGGGGAGCAAACAGG